UCCGGUUUGUCACCGGCAGUCCCAUUAGAGUGCCCAACUGAAUGUAGCAACUAAUGGCAAGGGUUGCGCUCGUUGCGGGACUUAACCCAACAUCUCACGACACGAGCUGACGACAGCCAUGCAGCACCUGUGUUCCGGUUCCCUUUCGGGCACAACCGCCUCUCAAGAUCUUCCCGUGCAUGUCAAGCCCAGGUAAGGUUCUUCGCGUUGCGUCGAAUUAAACCACAUGCUCCACCGCUUGUGCGGGCCCCCGUCAAUUCCUUUGAGUUUCAGCCUUGCGGCCGUACUCCCCAGGCGGGAUGCUUAAAGCGUUAGCUACGGCACAGAGGGGGUCGAUACCCCCCACACCUAGCAUCCACCGUUAGGGCGUGGACUAC
rnacentral:misc_RNA from 1 species